rnacentral:rRNA from 1 species
AUUGAACGCUGGCGGCAGGCUUAACACAUGCAAGUCGAGCGGGGGAAGGUAGCUUGCUACCGGACCUAGCGGCGGACGGGUGAGUAAUGCUUAGGAAUCUGCCUAUUAGUGGGGGACAACAUCUCGAAAGGGAUGCUAAUACCGCAUACGUCCUACGGGAGAAAGCAGGGGAUCUUCGGACCUUGCGCUAAUAGAUGAGCCUAAGUCGGAUUAGCUAGUUGGUGGGGUAAAGGCCUACCAAGGCGACGAUCUGUAGCGGGUCUGAGAGGAUGAUCCGCCACACUGGGACUGAGACACGGCCCAGACUCCUACGGGAGGCAGCAGUGGGGAAUAUUGGACAAUGGGGGGAACCCUGAUCCAGCCAUGCCGCGUGUGUGAAGAAGGCCUUAUGGUUGUAAAGCACUUUAAGCGAGGAGGAGGCUACUUUAGUUAAUACCUAGAGAUAGUGGACGUUACUCGCAGAAUAAGCACCGGCUAACUCUGUGCCAGCAGCCGCGGUAAUACAGAGGGUGCGAGCGUUAAUCGGAUUUACUGGGCGUAAAGCGUGCGUAGGCGGCUUAUUAAGUCGGAUGUGAAAUCCCCGAGCUUAACUUGGGAAUUGCAUU